GGGGGGGGGGGUAUGGCGAAAUUGGUAGACGCUGCGGACUU
rnacentral:tRNA from 1 species